rnacentral:rRNA from 1 species
ACGUACACUCCUACGGGAGGCAGCAGUGGGGAAUAUUGGACAAUGGGCGCAAGCCUGAUCCAGCCAUGCCGCGUGAGUGAUGAAGGCCCUAGGGUUGUAAAGCUCUUUCACCGGUGAAGAUAAUGACGGUAACCGGAGAAGAAGCCCCGGCUAACUUCGUGCCAGCAGCCGCGGUAAUACGAAGGGGGCUAGCGUUGUUCGGAUUUACUGGGCGUAAAGCGCACGUAGGCGGACUAUUAAGUCAGGGGUGAAAUCCCGGGGCUCAACCCCGGAACUGCCUUUGAUACUGGUAGUCUCGAGUUCGAGAGAGGUGAGUGGAAUUCCGAGUGUAGAGGUGAAAUUCGUAGAUAUUCGGAGGAACACCAGUGGCGAAGGCGGCUCACUGGCUCGAUACUGACGCUGAGGUGCGAAAGCGUGGGGAGCAAACAGGAUUAGAAACCCUUGUAGUCC